rnacentral:rRNA from 1 species
UACGGAGGAUCCGAGCGUUAUCCGGAUUUAUUGGGUUUAAAGGGUGCGCAGGCGGGAAGAUAAGUCGGCGGUGAAAUUUUGCAGCUCAACUGUAAAAGUGCCUUCGAAACUGUCUUUCUUGAGUAUGGAUGAAGUAGGCGGAAUUUGUGGUGUAGCGGUGAAAUGCUUAGAUAUCACAAGGAACUCCGAUUGCGAAGGCAGCUUACUAAGCCAUAACUGACGCUCAGGCACGAAGGCGUGGGUAUCAAACAGG